AGGAGACGCCGGGAAAUGGCACAAAAAUGUGAUCUCCCAACCGGUAUAAAAGUUUGGAUGUUGGACAGGAGAAUAUGCACCUUAAUUGUGCUAAAUAUUUUAUGGACCUUCAUUGCUCAGUUAUCAAAUUUGUGUCUAUGCCGACUCUUUUGCUUUGCUUUGGUUGUUAAAGUCUUUUAAACUAUCUCCAACUGAAUCCUUGCUGAAUCCCUGGUGCCAGUGGCUGCAUUAAAGGUGGAGGAGAGGAGACAACCAGAACAAGUUAUUCUGAAAAGCCUAUAUAGUCAGAGCCUGCAAUAUGUGAGUUGAUAAUGGUCACCUAAAA